CGCUGUGAUUGGCCCGAGGCAGGCAGGGUAUAAAGGCGCUGGCGGGGGGCGGAGGCGCCAGUCUGCCGAGGGUCGCGUGUAGCUGGAGCCAUGGUUCGGGGGCUCGGUGUGUUGGUGCUGGUGCUGCUCGGACUCGCCGGCAUGGAGGCGACCGCAAGAGCCCCCAAAGUACAUGUGUACUCCCGCCACCCAGCGGAAGAUGGCAAGCCGAACAUCCUGAACUGCUAUGUGGAGGGGUUCCAUCCUCCAAACAUUCAGAUCACCUUGCUGCAGAAUGAUGAAAAGAUGGAGAACAUAGAAACGUCCGACCUGUCCUUCAGUGAGGACUGGACUUUCCAGCGCCUGGUGCAUGCCCCGUUCACUCCUAACAGGAAAGAUUCAUAUGUAUGCAAAGUGGAGCAUAGCACCCUUCAAAAUCCCAAGAACGUCAAAUGGGGUGAGUAUUUUACUACUUCCAUCUUGUUCACUUCAUCCCUCAUCAAGUGUAGACUGGAUUUGGAUUCUGUUGCUACUGAGAUCCUGCACUCUGCCAGAGAAUCAGCUUGUCUGCUUAGUCACAAGUCCAGUGUCUCUUUUUUUCUUUUCUUUUUCUUUUUUUUAAGCGUAAUAGGGUGAGUUCCUGAUGUCUUGUUUCUAGACACCUUUGGCCUCUUCCUAGGCUCCAGUGAAAUUGUCUCUAAUUGCCAAAGGGAACAUAGAAUCAUAGAAUGUCAGGGUUGGAAGGGACCUCAGGAGGUCAUCUAGUCCAACCCCCUGCUCAAAGCAGGACCAAUUCCCAGCUAAACUAAAUCCCCAUGUAAAUUAAUACACUGCAUUGGAACAUCUGAUAGUAAUGGGAAGAAGGAGAGACUAAUUUCUGGAAUAUUGGACAUGCUGUAGAUCAGGUCAGGCUAUAUCUACACUGCAGACCUUACAGCGGUACAGCUACAGCUGUGCUACUGUAAGGUCUCCCAUGUAGCCACUCUUUGCUGACAGGAGAGAGCUCUCCUGCCAGCAUAAUUAAGCUACCCUCAACGAGCGGUGUUAGUUAUGUCGGCAGGAGAGACUCUCCUGCAGACAAUAGUACUGUCCGCACCAGCACUUUUGAUGGUAAAACUUAAGUUGGUCCAGGGGUGUGUUUUUCACACCCCUCAUCGACAAAAGUGCUAGCGUAGACAUAGCCUCAGUUAGCAGAGCUCUGGGGAAAGUAUACACAACCCCUGCCUGCCCGCUUGGUACCUGGCUUUAAUGUUAUCAUAAUGUCUUAAUGGUAUCUUAAUUCCUUAUGCUCAUCUCAAAAUAAAAAUUACCUGAACGGAUAUGUCAUAUGUAACUUUUAUGACUUGCCUGUUGAAAAAGGGUAAGUGAGAAGAUAAAAAGAUAUAUUUUAUUAAAAGAGCAGUUUUUGUCAGAGAAACCAUUUUCAACCCCAGCCUAGUCUCUUACUUUGUUCUGCAGGCUUUUCUCUGUCUUUUGAUACAUAAUCACCAACAAUAAAAGAUCCAGGACUUUGAAUUUGUCUGGCAUCACAAGCAUGACAGGGUGGAACAGAAUCCAGUUGACUUCUGCUUGCUGGGAGGAGGAAACCCAAUUAGUUUUUGUAAACUAAGCAAAGAUGCUUAGGACAACUGGCAAGAAGAUGAGGGGUGUGGUGUCUGUUUCUUUUCUGGCCCAGUCUAUAGUCCUUUAGCAUGAGCAGUGGUGGCUUAUCACAGGGCAUCUGUCUGGCUGCUAGAGUGAUAGAACUCUCCCAGCUCUGCAUUAUAAUUGUUGUGAUUGAUGGGAGGGUUAUUUGUGCAGCACAGCCACAUCUUGGAAGUGAAGUCUAACAUCCUGUUGUCCUCUUUUUGUAGACCCAGAUAAUUAACCUGCAUCUUAGACACAUAUGGUCUGAAGAACAUCUGCCUUGCAAUCUGAAAUCAGCUUAAGCCGUAACCCAUUUUCCUCUGUGUUCUCUUCACACCCCACACUCAUUUUGUGUUGGAGCUGAAUGUAUAGCUUAAAUUGAUGCUAAAUAAUUUGUGGGGGGUCCUUUGAAAUUAACACUUCACAUUAGCAAGUUUUUAGAUUUUUGAGCCUGGGGCCCUCAUCUGUGUAUGGCAGUGUGACAUUAGAGCUGGCCUCGCACACCAAAAUUAUUGAUGCUCUGUCUGCUUAGGUGGAAAACUUGGGUAAUCUAGUGGUGGACAUGUUAUAGAAUCAUUAUAGAUCUUAUGCAAAGAUAAGCCAAACUUGUAUUGGUCAGUCUGGCAGGUGUGCUACUGCUACUUAAACUGGCACUUUUAAAGUAAAUCCUAAACAUGUCUCAAGGUCUUUUAAAAUCCAUGGAUCUUUCUUCUGAUCCAGCCAUGCUGUGCUCAUGGUAUUGAGAGAGAGAGAGAGAAUUUGCACUGCAAAUUUGGAAGAAUUUUGUCUUUCCAGUAGCUCCAGAACAUAAGAGCUAUAACAAGGUCCCAGUACAACCUACCUGUAGGCAGUCCUCGCCAGGGAUUGAGGCUACCAGGGCCUGAGUGCAACACCUGUUGCCAAGCCCUUUGAGGUGAGCACUAGUAGAGCUUUCAAGAACAACUCUUGGCUACAGCAUUUCUUACUAUAAAUGCCAAUCAAUUAAAAUUGUCAGUUAAAGCAAUAAAUCCACGUGUGCAAGUCUGUUAAACAUUUUUGGAUAAUCUAUAUGGAUCUGUUUUACUAAUUAAAAAGAGAAUAUAAUACUU